rnacentral:lncRNA from 1 species
CAACCAUCGAAGCAUACCAAUGUCUCAUUUCAUUUUCACUGAUCAAUUUAAACGGUAUUUAAGCAAGCGAUAUAGUUUAUCAUAAUUAAUAACUAAGUAAUCAAAUAACCAAAUAAACAAUACAGGAGGAAUCAAAACAACAAGAUAAUCGAGAAGACCAUCAAAACUAUCAAUUUAAAUGUGCACAAUAUAAUAGUAAGUAAUUUAGGAAGUACAGAAAAAUAAAUAGCAAACGCAAGACAAAUGUGAACUAACCGGUUCUGACUCCACUAGUGACCUGUAAUAUUUUUAUGAUUUU